ACUACUGGGAACCAGUUUGUAGUGGGGAGCUCCCAGUUCAGGGUCCUUACAACUAUGGGAAGGGAUAAUCCUGGUGACCACAGAAGGAUGGGUUAUUUGUGGGGCCACCCUGAAGUGGAAGGCACAGGGGGUGGCCCCUUGCAAGCCCCACAUCCCCCCAUGGACAAUGCCAGGCUGGGUAGGGGGAGCUGCUUGGGGCAGUGCCCCCCUGGGCAUGAAGGGGUUAAGGGCCCCAUCCAGCUGUGCAGUGCAGAUGUGAGAUAUGCAGAUGAGACAGAGCAGGUUUUAUAAGGCGGGUGCAGAUCCAGCACCCCACAAAGCCCCAGUGCCACCCCCAUCGGCACCGCUCUCCUCUCCACGCUGUCCCGGGCAGGAUAUCAUCAUAUACUGUAAGUUGGCUAUGAGACACUACAGUAUAGAUGAUGUACUCCCCAGGCUGCACCGACCUCCUCCCGCCAGCACCGACCGGGACCACGGCCCGGGGCACCGGGGAUGUGUGACACGGGCUGGGAGGGAGAUGGGAUGGGGCAUCCCGGGGUGUGGGAAGAUCUGGACACAGCCAGGGACUCACGGCCGGCGGGGAAACCGUUACCAUUACUGAGUUUAGUAAUGGUAACGGUUCUGCUGACGGCCGGGCACGCAGCACGGCAUGGAAUGGCAUGGAAUGGCAUGGGAAUGGUACUGGAUGGCAUGGGAAUGGUACUGGAUGGCACGGGAAUGGCAUGGAAUGGUACUGGAUGGCAUGGGAAUGGCAUGGGAAUGGUACUGGAUGGUACUGGAUGGCACGGGAAUGGCACGGAAUGGGACAGCAUGGACAUAGGGAUGGACGGGCACAGGACAAUAAAGAGUUCCAGAACCAUG